rnacentral:rRNA from 1 species
GACGAACGCUGGCGGCGCGCUUAACACAUGCAAGUCGAACGGAAAGGCCCUGCUUUUGUGGGGUGCUCGAGUGGCGAACGGGUGAGUAACACGUGAGUAACCUGCCCUUGACUUUGGGAUAACUUCAGGAAACUGGGGCUAAUACCGGAUAGGAGCUCCUGCUGCAUGGUGGGGGUUGGAAAGUUUCGGCGGUUGGGGAUGGACUCGCGGCUUAUCAGCUUGUUGGUGGGGUAGUGGCUUACCAAGGCUUUGACGGGUAGCCGGCCUGAGAGGGUGACCGGCCACAUUGGGACUGAGAUACGGCCCAGACUCCUACGGGAGGCAGCAGUGGGGAAUAUUGCACAAUGGGCGGAAGCCUGAUGCAGCAACGCCGCGUGCGGUAUGACGGCCUUCGGGUUGUAAACCGCUUUCGCCUGUGACGAAGCGUGAGUGACGGUAAUGGGUAAAGAAGCACCGGCUAACUACGUG